UGAGUUCGAUCCUGGCUCAGGAUGAACGCUGGCGGCGUGCCUAACACAUGCAAGUCGAACGGACUUAACCUGAAACCUAGUGAUGGUUAAGUUAGUGGCGGACGGGUGAGUAACGCGUGGACAACCUGCCGCAUGCAGGGGGAUAACAGUCGGAAACAGCUGCUAAUACCGCAUAAGCGCACGGUACCGCAUGGUACAGUGUGAAAAGAUUUAUCGGCAUACGAUGGAUCCGCGUCCGAUUAGCCAGUUGGCGGGGUAACGGCCCACCAAAGCGACGAUCGGUAGCCGGCCUGAGAGGGCGGACGGCCACAUUGGGACUGAGACACGGCCCAAACUCCUACGGGAGGCAGCAGUGGGGAAUAUUGCACAAUGGGGGGAACCCUGAUGCAGCGACGCCGCGUGGGUGAAGAAGUCAUUCGUGACGUAAAGCCCUAUCAGCAGGGAAGAAAAUGACGGUACCUGACUAAGAAGCCCCGGCUAACUACGUGCCAGCAGCCGCGGUAAUACGUAGGGGGCAAGCGUUAUCCGGAUUUACUGGGUGUAAAGGGAGCGUAGACGGCGGCGCAAGUCCGGAGUGAAAGCCCACGGCCCAACCGUGGGACUGCUCUGGAAACUGUGCGGCUUGAGUGCGGGAGGGGCAGGCGGAAUUCCUAGUGUAGCGGUGAAAUGCGUAGAUAUUAGGAG
rnacentral:rRNA from 1 species